rnacentral:lncRNA from 1 species
UUUUAUCUGUCUCCAUUUACUCAUCUUUAGAUAUUUUAGAUGGUAUUUGUUUACUCACUGGGAUUAUAUAAUCUCACCACCCUUCUUUUCACCCAUUUCAAGCUCAGGAUAAUCAGUAGAUAGCUCACUUUGUUGAGGGCUACAGUUGGACUUGCAUCCUCAAAAACUAUAGGUUUACCGUUUUUGAUACUUUUGGUCGUUCGUGAGCCCACAUGGCACUGUAAAUUAAAUCUUAUGCUUUG